rnacentral:rRNA from 1 species
AGCUUCAGUGAUGGAUGCUUUGGUUCAAACAAUGAUGAAGGGUGCAGUGAAAUGUAUUAGGCAUUGUGAAUUGCAGAAUUCCGUGAACCAAUGGGGCAUUGAACGUAUUCUAUGUUUUUGGGAUCUUCCUGCAAACAUGCUUGAAUCAGUGCCAUAUCCUGUCUUUGUUAUUCUGGUCCAAACCUGGACUGGAGUGUGGGUGUGUUAAAACAUGUUUUGACACACAUA